AUGGUGCUUACGGUUCUCCUCCUCGUGCUCCUGGCCGGCCUCGCCGGCUCGAGCCCUCCGCCGGAGCCUGUGGUCUGUGCCCGCGGGAUGGCCGACUGCACUGUCUCCAACGCGUUCGGCUCCUUCCUGGACCGCACCAUCUGCCGCGCGGCCAACGCCACCUUCCCGCGCACCGAGAAGGAGCUAGUCGCGGCCGUGGCAGCCGCGGCGGCGGCCAAGCGCAAGGUGAAGGUGGCCACCAAGCACUCCCACAGCUUCCCCAAGCUGGCCUGCCCCGGCGGCCGCGAUGGCACCAUCAUAAGCACUGAGCGGCUCAACCGGGUGGCAAGCGUCGACGUCGCCAAGGGGCUUAUGACGGUGGAAAGCGGCAUGGUGCUCCGGGACCUCAUCCAGGCGGCCGCCGCGAAAGGGCUCGCGCUGCCGCACUCGCCGUACUGGUCGGGGCUCACCAUCGGGGGCCUGCUGGCCACGGGCGCGCACGGCAGUUCGCUCAAGGGCAAGGGCGGCGCCGUGCACGAGUACGUGGUCGGGAUGAGGAUCGUCACGCCGGCGCCGGCCAGCCAAGGGUUCGCGGUGGUACGGGAGCUCUGCGCCGACCAUCCCGACCUCGACGCCGCCAAGGUCUCCCUCGGCGUCCUUGGCGUCGUUUCCCAGGUUACACUGGCAUUGCAGCCGAUGUUCAAGCGGUCGGUGACAUUUGUGACACGUGAUGACUCAGACAUGGCAGAAAAGGCGGCAAGGUGGGGCGACCUCCACGAAUUCGGCGAUAUGGCGUGGCUACCACAGCUCCACAAGGUCAUUUACCGCGAGGAUGACCGUGUGACCAUCAAGACGGUGGGCGACGGCCUCAAUGACCACCUAGGAUUCCGCUCCAACCCGACAGCCCCGCUCAUCAGUAGCAGAGUCACCAUGGAGCUUCUCGAGAAGAACAUCAAUGCCGUCGCCCGGUGCAAGGCGGCAAAUGCGACGGUAUCGUUGUUUGAGACGGCAGCAUAUGGCUUCACAAACAAUGGUAGCUUGUUCACUGGGUACCCAGUGGUGGGGUUCCAACACAAGAUCCAAGCGUCUGGCGCAUGUAUUGGUAGCCAAGAAGACGCGCUCCUCACCUCAUGCGCAUGGGACCCACGCAUCCAGGGGACCUUCUUCUACACCAAUGCAUAUAGCAUCGCGCUCUCGAAGGUGCCAGCAUUCGUUGCCGACAUGCAAGAGCUCCGUGACCGUUGUCCGCUAUCCUUCUGUGGAAUCGACACCAGUGGCGGUAUGCUCAUCCGCUACGUCAAGGCAUCCUCUGCCUACCUCGGCAAGCCAGAGGACUCGAUCGACUUUGAUAUAGCCUACUACCGGAGUUACACCAAGGGCGAGCCCAACCCGCACUAUGAGGUGCUCGACGAGCUCCAGCAGAUGGCGCUGCGCAAGUACAACGCCAUCCCGCACUGGGGAAAGAACCGCAACUUUGCCUUUGAAGGCGCAAUGGCCAAGCACCCCAAGGCGGGCAAGUUCCUGGAGGUGAAGCGUAGGUAUGACCCUGAUGGGAUCUUCUCCAGUGAGUGGAGCGACCAAGUUCUCGGCAUCAAUGGGAGCCCUGCCAUCUUCGAGAAGCGUUGCGCCAUUGAGGGGCUUUGCAUCUGCUCAGACGACUCGCACUGUGCACCGGAGGAGGGCUACUACUGCCUCCCAGGGAAGGUGUACACGGACGCGAGGGUCUGCUCAUUCCAACCCGCUUUCUGA
rnacentral:rRNA from 1 species